rnacentral:rRNA from 1 species
AGGAAGAAAGCUUGCUUUCUUUGCUGGCGACCGGCGCACGGGUGAGUAACACGUAUCCAACCUGCCCUUUACUCGGGGAUAGCCUUUCGAAAGAAAGAUUAAUACCCGAUAGCAUAAUGAUUCCGCAUGGUUUCAUUAUUAAAGGAUUCCGGUAAAGGAUGGGGAUGCGUUCCAUUAGGUUGUUGGUGAGGUAACGGCCCACCAAGCCUUCGAUGGAUAGGGGUUCUGAGAGGAAGGUCCCCCACAUUGGAACUGAGACACGGUCCAAACUCCUACGGGAGGCAGCAGUGAGGAAUAUUGGUCAAUGGGCGUUAGCCUGAACCAGCCAAGUAGCGUGAAGGAUGAAGGCUCUAUGGGUCGUAAACUUCUUUUAUAUAAGAAUAAAGUGCAGUAUGUAUACUGUUUUGUAUGUAUUAUAUGAAUAAGGAUCGGCUAACUCCGUGCCAGCAGCCGCGGUAAUACGGAGGAUCCGAGCGUUAUCCGGAUUUAUUGGGUUUAAAGGGAGCGUAGGUGGACUGGUAAGUCAGUUGUGAAAGUUUGCGGCUCAACCGUAAAAUUGCAGUUGAUACUGUCAGUCUUGAGUACAGUAGAGGUGGGCGGAAUUCGUGGUGUAGCGGUGAAAUGCUUAGAUAUCACGAAGAACUCCGAUUGCGAAGGCAG